UCUUGUGAUUAAUGUUAAGUUAUAGUUUAUCAUGAUUGCCAUAUGAAGUUUGCUUGGUUGUCUAUGGUAUUUAUUUUUCAUGAUUUAUGUCCAAGUACUUUGACUUGACAAGUUGAGUGUUGGUUGGUUAUUGUGUUUUUCUUUAUUGGUUUUAAUUUUCUAUGGUGGAUCUGUUGCAGUCUUCUUAAAAUUCAAGUUCUCUCAGUUACAACCUGAAGAUUGGUGUAAUUUAUACAAAGCCAGUUCCUUCCCGUUUGCCUUUGUAAAGUUGUCACUUUUAAUUAUAUUAAAAGUUAAAACAUGCUAAAACUUAUAUAAAACUCAUGUUUUCUUAAAGCAGGACAUCAAGAGGCUCUCAUUUUGGGGGGCCUGAAAUUGAUAUCAGCUGAAAUGAUUCCACUUUAAUCCGUGGCCUCAUUUUAGUUAAAAGCAUUGCCAGUUGAAGAAUUUAAGUUUAACCUCUAUGGAAGUGGGUCACUUGCCAUUAUUUAUUGCUUUAGCUAAAAUAACGGAUGCCCGGCUGCAGAUGGAUAUAUCCUUAUUUAUCUUGCAUUUUGAAGACAUUUUCUUUUCCACUAUUCCACUAUUCAUUUGAGGUUGUAAGCCACCUCAAGAUAAAAAGAACUUCCUUAGUUUUCCAAAAAAAAUAUGUUCUUUCUUUGUCUUGUGUGCAUGCUGAGAAUUUAUUGUAUCACUAAAAAAUCAAAAUUAGUUUAGCAGGCAGUUCUUCUCUGCUUGUAUGAUGAAGUUUGAAGUUGUACUUGUGAAUCAUUCAAUUUAAGCACCAGCAACUCACUCUGUCCACUCUGCCUUCCAAAAAAUUUGUGGAAGGAAAAAAGAGGAAAGACUUCAUGCCAAGUGAGGA